rnacentral:ribozyme from 11 species
CACGUGCACGGAGAGAAAGAAAGAAAGAAAGAAAGAAAAAGAAGAAAGCGAAAAAAGGACGGUUGUGCAUGGAUUUGAUUAUUUCAGUGGGGGGUGUAGGAGAGUCGGUCCAUGUCUCGAUCGAUCCGCCAUGCAAUUUUAAUUCUUUUCUUUUCGUUUCUU